AGUGAACGCUGGCGGUAGGCCUAACACAUGCAAGUCGAACGGCAGCACAGUAAGAGCUUGCUCUUACGGGUGGCGAGUGGCGGACGGGUGAGGAAUACAUCGGAAUCUACUUUUUCGUGGGGGAUAACGUAGGGAAACUUACGCUAAUACCGCAUACGACCUACGGGUGAAAGCAGGGGAUCUUCGGGCCUUGCGCGAUUGAAUGAGCCGAUGUCGGAUUAGCUAGUUGGCGGGGUAAAGGCCCACCAAGGCGACGAUCCGUAGCUGGUCUGAGAGGAUGAUCGGCCACACUGGAACUGAGACACGGUCCAGACUCCUACGGGAGGCAGCAGUGGGGAAUAUUGGACAAUGGGCGCAAGCCUGAUCCAGCCAUACCGCGUGGGUGAAGAAGGCCUUCGGGUUGUAAAGCCCUUUUGUUGGGAAAGAAAAGCAGCAGGUUAAGACCACGCUGUUCUGACGGUACCCAAAGAAUAAGCACCGGCUAACUUCGUG
rnacentral:rRNA from 1 species